rnacentral:rRNA from 1 species
CAGUCGCCGCGGGAAUACGUAGGUCCCGAGCGUUGUCCGGAUUUAUUGGGCGUAAAGCGAGCGCAGGCGGUUAGAUAAGUCUGAAGUUAAAGGCUGUGGCUUAACCAUAGUACGCUUUGGAAACUGUUUAACUUGAGUGCAGAAGGGGAGAGUGGAAUUCCAUGUGUAGCGGUGAAAUGCGUAGAUAUAUGGAGGAACACCGGUGGCGAAAGCGGCUCUCUGGUCUGUAACUGACGCUGAGGCUCGAAAGCGUGGGGAGCAAACAGGAUUAGAUACCCCCGUAGUCCCUGUCUCUUAUACA